AUUGAACGCUGGCGGCAGGCCUAACACAUGCAAGUCGAGCGGUUGAGGGGAGCUUGCUCCCUGAUUCAGCGGCGGACGGGUGAGUAAUGCCUAGGAAUCUGCCUAUUAGUGGGGGACAACGUUUCGAAAGGAACGCUAAUACCGCAUACGUCCUACGGGAGAAAGCAGGGGACCUUCGGGCCUUGCGCUAAUAGAUGAGCCUAGGUCGGAUUAGCUAGUUGGUGAGGUAAUGGCUCACCAAGGCGACGAUCCGUAACUGGUCUGAGAGGAUGAUCAGUCACACUGGAACUGAGACACGGUCCAGACUCCUACGGGAGGCAGCAGUGGGGAAUAUUGGACAAUGGGCGAAAGCCUGAUCCAGCCAUGCCGCGUGUGUGAAGAAGGUCUUCGGAUUGUAAAGCACUUUAAGUUGGGAGGAAGGGUUGUAGAUUAAUACCUUGCUGUUUUGACGUUACCGACAGAAUAAGCACCGGCUAACUCCGUGCCAGCCGCCGCGGUAACAC
rnacentral:rRNA from 1 species